GAUGAACGCUGGCUGCGUGCUUAACACAUGCAAUUCGAACGGAAAGGCUCCUGCUUGCCGGGGUACUCGAGUGGCGAACUGGUGAUUAACACGUUGGUUUUCUGCCCUUCACUUCGGGUUAAGCCUCGGAAACUGGGUCUAAUACCGGUUAGGCCGAUGGUUUGGAUGCCAUUGUGGAAAGUUUUUCGGUGUGGGUUUAGCUUGCGGCCUAUCAGCUUGUUGUUGGGGUAAUGGUCUACCAAGGCGUCGACGGGUAGCCGGCCUGAGAGGGUGUACGGCCACAAUGGGACAGAGAUGCGGCCAAGAAUCCUAAAGGAGGCAGCAGUGGAGAAUAUUGUGCAGAAGGCGCAAGGCUGAGGCAGAGACGAAGCGUGGGGGAUGACGGCCUUCGGGUUGUAAACACCUUUCGCGAGGGACGAAGCGCAAGUGAAGGUACCUGGAGAAGAAGCACCGGCUAACUAAGUG
rnacentral:rRNA from 1 species